UGCUCAGGAACACCUGAGUGGUUUCACAUGUGCCUGUUCAUGCCUGGCCUAGGAGUCCUUUUCUGAGGAACACGUUGCUGGUUUUGUUCUUUGGGAAUAGUGUCCGCCUUCUAGAGAUGGUGGGGUGCUCUCAGGAAGGAGAAGCAGCUGCAAGGCUGACAGGGAUCAUGCAAAAGGCCUGGAAUUCCAAUAAAAAGCAGAAGUGACUGCAUGGAAGCCAAGAACCUGGCACACUGUGAGCUGAUGAGAUGAUUAAACUGAAGCCAGCAUACAGUGGGCAGAAACCAGCAAUACAAUCAAUAAGAUGCUACAGCUAGCUGCUUGUAUCAAAGAAGACUGCAGCAAAAAGAACAAUUUAAUUUCUUUGCUUCUGGCCAGUUUGUGGCUAUAGCAGCAAGAGGGCUGUGUUGCCCUCAAAGGCCUCUCUGGCCUUGGUGGAGGGCCUGAUCCCUGCUAGAGAAAAGGACGUCAUGUAGUGAAAUUCUCUCUGCUGCACAUAUGGGUGAGAAAGGUGCCACACUUAUUUCUCUUUCUUCUCAUCCAU